rnacentral:rRNA from 1 species
UACGUAGGUCCCGAGCGUUGUCCGGAUUUAUUGGGCGUAAAGCGAGCGCAGGUGGUUUAUUAAGUCUGGUGUAAAAGGCAGUGGCUCAACCAUUGUAUGCAUUGGAAACUGGUAGACUUGAGUGCAGGAGAGAAGAGUGGAAUUCCAUGUGUAGCAGUGGAAUGCGUAGAUAUAUGGAGGAACACCGGUGGCGAAAGCGGCUCUCUGGCCUGUAACUGACACUGAGGCUCGAAAGCAUGGGGAGCAAACAGG